rnacentral:rRNA from 1 species
GGGGAAUCUUCCGCAAUGGGCGAAAGCCUGACGGAGCAAUACCGCGUGAGGGAUGACUGCCUAUGGGUUGAAAACCUCUUUUUUCAGGGAGGAAUAAAAUGACGUGUACCUGAAGAAUAAGCAUCGGCUAACUCCGUGCCAGCAGCCGCGGUAAGACGGAGGAUGCAAGUGUUAUCCGGAAUCACUGGGCGUAAAGCGUCUGUAGGUGGUUUAAUAAGUCAACUGUUAAAUCUUGAGGCUCAACCUCAAAAUCGCAGUCGAAACUAUUAGGCUAGAGUAUAGUAGGGGUAAAGGGAAUUUCCAGUGGAGCGGUGAAAUGCGUAGAGAUUGGAAAGAACACCGAUGGCGAAGGCACUUUACUGGGCUAUUACUAACACUCAGAGACGAAAGCUAGGGUAGCAAAAGGGAUUAGAUACCCCUGUAGUC